AAGUUUCGAUCCUUGUUUUGUUGGACCGGUGCAUCACAUCCGGCAACGAUCGAUGUCUGGUAGUAUCUUUGGGCUAUUCCGCAACCCUUAGUGUCAUCGUUCAUACCAUCAUUUCUCAAUCCUCUCGGAUCUGAGUUCAUAUCAACCAUACCGAAAGAGUGAUCCUUAUUUUGGUUCUAUCAAGUGGUAUCAGAGCCACUCUCUCGGUAACUCUAUUUCAUUCCAUCUUCUCAUCUCUCCAUAUUCUUCAAACACUUCUUCUUCUACCUUUCUUGAAUCCGGGCCCCUCAUUACCAUCCAUAUAUUAAAAAAAAUAAUGAGAAAAAGAAAGAUCUAUCAAAAAAAAAAAAAGAGAUUCAAAAGAUUGAUUUGUGGAUUUGGUGGAAGAGAAAUCUUGCUGGCUGAGGAGAAAUCCAGCCUUUGAGGUGGUUAAGGCAGUUUCCAAAAUCAAAAUCUCUUAUCUAUCUAUCUUGAAAAAACCCUUUGUUU
rnacentral:lncRNA from 1 species